rnacentral:sRNA from 12 species
UUAUAUUGCAGGUAAGGUUACUUACGCUGUAUAUCUGUGAUGUUACUGAAUGAAAGUUUAAGCGUUAUGUAAGAACGCCAGCCACAGAGCCACCAUUUUGGUGGUAUUUUUUUUG